GUGCUCACUUUGCCAACACAUUUAUUAAAAAUUGGAACGAUACAGAGAAGAUUAGCAUAGCCCCUGCAUGAGGAUGACAUGAAAAUUUAUGAAGCGUUCUGUAUUUUA
ensembl:snRNA U6 U6 spliceosomal RNA